rnacentral:rRNA from 1 species
AAACACAUGCAGUCGGGCGGUAACAGGGAUAGCUUGCUAUCUGCUGACGAGCGGCGGACGGGUGAGUAAUGCAUAGGAAUCUGCCUGGUAGUGGGGGAUAGCCCAGAGAAAUUUGGAUUAAUACCGCAUACGCCCUACGGGGGAAAGCUGGGGACCUUCGGGCCUAGCGCUAUCAGAUGAGCCUAUGUCGGAUUAGCUUGUUGGUGAGGUAACGGCUCACCAAGGCGACGAUCCGUAGCUGGUCUGAGAGGAUGAUCAGCCACACUGGGACUGAGACACGGCCCAGACUCCUACGGGAGGCAGCAGUGGGGAAUAUUGGACAAUGGGCGCAAGCCUGAUCCAGCCAUGCCGCGUGUGUGAAGAAGGCCUUCGGGUUGUAAAGCACUUUCAGCGAGGAGGAAAGGGGUGUUGCUAAUAUCAACGCCCUGUGACGUUACUCGCAGAAGAAGCACCGGCUAACUCCGUGCACACCCGGGGAAAAAAAUAUAAAA